ACUUUGAAUUUGGUGGGGAAUUAAUGUGAAAUUCAUUAGCUGUUCCUGCAACGGUAAAGUCCGAGCGCCACCCAGAGU
ncrna:unclassified sequences AdoCbl variant RNA